GACGAACGCUGGCGGCGCGCUUAACACAUGCAAGUCGAACGGAAAGGCCUGCUUUCCCUUGUGGAUUGCGGGUACUCGAGUGGCGAACGGGUGAGUAACACGUGAGUGACCUGCCCCCAACUUGGGUAUAAGCCUGGGAAACUGGGUCUAAUUCCCGAUAGGACUGCAGGGUGGUGCCUGUGGUGGAAAACGAUUUUCUAGUGGUUGGGGAUGAGCUCGCGGCCUAUCAGCUUGUUGGUGGGGUAAUGGCCUACCAAGGCGGCGACGGGUAGCCGGCCUGAGAGGGUGGACGGCCACAUUGGGACUGAGAUACGGCCCAGACUCCUACGGGAGGCAGCAGUGGGGAAUAUUGCACAAUGGGCGGAAGCCUGAUGCAGCGACGCCGCGGGGGGGAUGACGGCCUUCGGGUUGUAAACUCCUUUCGACCGCGAGGAAGCCACCUGGUUGGAAGGGUGGUGACGGUAGUGGUAGAAGAAGCACCGGCUAACUACGUG
rnacentral:rRNA from 1 species